rnacentral:rRNA from 1 species
GACGAACGCUGGCGGCGUGCUUAACACAUGCAGGUCGAACGGAAAGGCCCUGCUUUUGUGGGGUGCUCGAGUGGCGAACGGGUGAGUAACACGUGAGUAACCUGCCCUUGACUUUGGGAUAACUUCAGGAAACUGGGGCUAAUACCGGAUAGGAGCUCCUGCUGCAUGGUGGGGGUUGGAAAGUUUCGGCGGUUGGGGAUGGACUCGCGGCUUAUCAGCUUGUUGGUGGGGUAGUGGCUUACCAAGGCUUUGACGGGUAGCCGGCCUGAGAGGGUGACCGGCGACAUUGGGACUGAGAUACGGCCCAGACUCCUACGGGAGGCAGCAGUGGGGAAUAUUGCACAAUGGGCGGAAGCCUGAUGCAGCAACGCCGCGUGCGGGAUGACGGCCUUCGGGUUGUAAACCGCUUUCGCCUGUGACGAAGCGUGAGUGACGGUAAUGGGUAAAGAAGCACCGGCUAACUACGUG